AUUUUUUCGGUAGCCGUGAAGGCAGCCUUCGCUUUCAAUCUCCAGCCGCACAGGCGCACUGGCUUCAUGCUGGCAAGAUGAGAGCACUGGUCAGCCUUGCCUCUGCCCAAAACUUGUAAGUACCACUUUGUGAGCAGGCCACUGAACUGGACUGAAGCUCAGAGCUUCUGCAGACAGGUCUACACUGACCUGGCCACCAUAUAAAACAUUGCUGACAUCAGUGCAGUAAACACCACCAUAUCGAACUAUGCAGCUCUUCAGACAGUACAGAUUGUCACCACGGUUGUUGUCCCUGAAGGUUCAGUCUGUUGAGACAGGAGACCUGUGGAGGAAAGACAAAAUGAGAUGGAGGAGAAUGGAAAUCUGUUUAUCAGAUGAAAUGUAGUUUAACCUAUUUGGAGAAUUUUCUUAAAAUAAGACAUGACAUAUCCAAAAUCUAUACUUCAAUAACAAUUCUUUACAGUGUGCCCUACAUACUAAUGACCAUAUAAUACUGUUUAACAGUCACCAUACAAAAUAAUUUGAUGAUACAAUACAUGCACUAAUGAAACUGCAGCUUUUGAAUGCACUGCUAGUCAAAUAAAAAAAAAGAGAAAUCAAAGGUCUUCCUAAAAUGUUGUACUGUUUUUUUGUUUGUUUGUUUUCCAAGAUCUUUUGGAGCUGUUUCACCACCAUUCAAAAUUUUUUCAAAAUUGUCCAGGUGUGAGUAGUGCUUCCUUUGUGCAGUGCAUUAUGGGAAAAUAGUGUCUAUCGACAGUAGACUUAAAAAAAAUCAACUGUAUUUAUUGUGCAUAUUGUUUGGUUUGAGUAUACUUCACUUCAUCACUUCUUUGUGAAGAUACUGAAAACGUACUUCAACUGGUUAGUAUGGAUUUCGGAGGUGCCAUGAUGAUUCGCAGUCAAGUAGAGGUCAAUUUAGCCAGGAUUUUUAUUUUUUUUUAAUUUAUGUGUUUUAAUGUGAGGUUUGAAAGAACUUUAUGCAACCUCACUUUAUGCACUCCAUGUAGCUGUAACAGUUGCAGAGAUCAGUCCCAAAACACAUAUACAGUACUGUACUUAGCUCAUCUUUUCUGUAAUAGUAGAAUCAUCUCUGCUUAGAAAGUGGUUAUAGCUGUGAGAAUUUUUCUUUGUCAGUAAGAUUAAGAUUUUAUUUUUAAAGUAUUGUGGAAAUGUGUGUGACUAUACAUGGUAUGAUUCAGUCAGUAUGAAAU